AUUAAAUCUGAAAGGAUUUAUUUAUUCCUAAGGACCGGUGUUUAAGAAGCCCAGUCUCUGCAGAAAUCUCUCCAUCUCUGUGACUCCAGCCCUUGUGUGGGCAAGUGUGACCUCUGAGUGUCUUACAACACUGCUGUUGAUACACACAUUAAUGAGAUGGAAAACGAUGAACGUGGCCAAACGCGAUGUCUUUCUGCCAGAACGAAUUCCCCGGGUAACCUUCCGCGCUAAAGAACUAUACGCUAGCCUUUCAGAAGCUAAGGGCUUUGGAGGCACUGGGCAAUUUCGAUCUUCACAAGCAGAUGGUCAAAGAACGGCAGCAGGGAGGUCUGGGAAAGAAAGUACAUAGCCUUCAGAAAAUCCAUACACUUCAGAAGGUCAAGCUAAAUAUUAUACUAGACAUUUUAUUUUCUAUUAAUUUUAAAUAAGGUUUGAAAGUUACUGUUACCUAAAAUUGGGACAAAAUUAAAUAUAGAUAUAAAACCCUAAUUUGUGUGGAUUGUUGACUACCAAUAAAGUAUAUACUU